AUGAAUCAGAUCAUCCAUAGGUAGAUUAUGUGAAGGUUAGGAGGAAAGAGAUUAAUUAGAGGAUAAAGUUUCUUUUGUAACUUUUGGAAAAUUGAACAGAAGUAAAUAAUAGGGAGAUGCAUGUUAAGAGUCUCUUGGACGAGAUAUAUCCUAAAAGUGUGUCUAUAAGUGGUGGGUAAUCAUCACCUAAUAAAUUGGUUUUGUAGAGGUUGAGUUAGGCACAACCCAAAUUUUAAAAUGAUAUCAAAGUCUAUCCAAGAUCCAUCAGACCACCAGGUUACCGCUAUCGGUCAGGCACACUCCAGAUGUUCAGUUCUGGGCGUGAAGGAUGUGUGUUAAGAAUCUCACAUUAGUCGAAAUAGGACUCAAAAAUGUGUUUAUAAAUGGUGGUUAGUCGCCACCUUACAAACCAAUUUUAUAGGAGUUGAGUUGGACUUGAGAGAAAUUUUAAAAUGCAUGAUUGAAUCAAC
rnacentral:lncRNA from 1 species